rnacentral:ncRNA from 1 species
UGCUCUUCGGGGUGCUCGUUCCGCGUGUUCGAUACGCAGGACGGGCUGAGAUCAUACCCGCAAAACCUGAUCCGGAUAAUGCCGGCGUAGGAAAUC